GCAGGCUGCAACUCGCCUGUAUGAAGUCGGAAUUGCUAGUAAUCGUGGAUCAGCAUGCCACGGUGAAUACGUUCCCGGGCCUUGUACACACCGCCGUCACACCAUGAGAGCCGGGAACACCCGAAGUCCGUAGUCUAACCUAUAUGGAGGACGCGGCCGAAGGUGGGUUUGGUAAUUGGGGUGAAGUCGUAACAAGGUAAC
rnacentral:rRNA from 1 species